ensembl:lncRNA
CGAUGGUAACACACUGGAGCAGUGAUUGGCUGAUUGGCCCGAUGGUAACACACUGGAGCAGUGAUUGGCCUGAUGGUAACACACUGGAGCAGUGAUUGGCCCGAUGGUAACACACUGGAGCAGUGAUUGGCUGAUUGGCCCGAUGGUAACACACUGGAGCAGUGAGUGGCCCGAUGGUAACACACUGGAGCAGUGAUUGGCCCGAUGGUAACACAUGGAGCCGUGAUUGGCCCGAUGGUAACACACUGGAGCAGUGAGUGGCCCGAUGGUAACACACUGGAGCAGUGAGUGGCCCGAUGGUAACACACUGGAGCAGUGAUUGGCUGAUUGGCCCGAUGGUAACACAUUGGAGCAGUGAGUGGCCCGAUGGUAACACAUUGGAGCAGUGAGUGGCCCGAUGGUAACACACUGGAGCAGUGAGUGGCCCGAUGGUAACACACUGGAGCAGUGAUUGGCCCGAUGGUAUCACACUGGAGCAGUGAUUGGCCCGAUGGUAACACAUUGGCUUAUUCUAUCAGUUAAAGUUGCUUAUGAUUCACCAAUCCUAUAAUAGAUGUAAUUUCAAAUACUCCCCACUGUGUUCCAACAGCAUCAUUGACUCCACCCCCUUUAACCCUUGCCUUUCCUGUACCUCACCUUGCAACCCCCUAUCCAUCUCCCUGCUUGUAUCAGCACUUGUAAACCAGUGUCCCAUGGAAACCCAUUUCUCCUGGCUUCCCUCUCCUUCCUGCUAUAUGAUUGUGACUAACAUGUCGGUCCUCUCACACGACCAAUAAACUAUUAUGUAAUAUGAGGUUUUGAAUUCAAUUAGAUUUCAAUGUUUGAAAAAGAUGGUUCACAGGGCAGUGUUGUCCCCCUGACAGGGCAGAGUGUUGUCCUCCCCCUGACAGGGCAGAGUAGUGUUGUCCCCCUGACAGGGCAGAGUGGUGUCCUCCCCCUGACAGGGCAGAGUGGUGUCCUCCCCUGACAGGGCAGAGUGGUGUCCUCCCCAUGACAGAGCAGAGUGGUGUCCUCCCCCUGACAGGGCAGAGUGUUGUCCCCAUGACACAUGGUUCACAGGGCAGAGUGUUGCCUAAUGAUGGGCUAAUGAUUGGGCUAAUGAUGGGCUAAUGAUUGGGCUAAUGAUGGGCUAAUGAUUGCCUACAGGACUUCCUCUCUGCAAAUCAGAUUAUAUUCUGAGUGAAACUUCUGUUGUUGGAUGACGUAGCAUACACAUGUAUUUUAGUAUGUUUGUUCAUACCAGACGUUUGGCUUCAUUAAAGUGGGAUAAAACUCACUAAACAAAUCACUGGUUCAUAAAUGUAUUUACAUAUCUGAUAUAAAUCAUUUAUAUUUGAUUUGAAAGAUAAAUUAAAAACGUUUUUUUUUUUGCUGGAAUAUAAAAAUGUGCACCUCAUUGUCAUCAUUCAGACAGCAUGUGGCACCAACAGGUGAUAAUGCAGGUAAAAGCACCCCAUUUAGUGUUUAAUUAACUGUCAGCAUCUAGUAAAACAGCCCCCCAUUCACCCAUCAACAAUGACUUAACAGUUUCACCCUAUUCAUGUUGUACAUGCACUGCUAAUGAGUAGACAUGUCAUUACAACCAAUUAGGACAUGUGUUUACUUAUUAAAUGCCUGUUUGACAGUAAGUAAUUGUUAGUAACGUCUGAGUGCAUUACCCAUCUACUUCCAUUGUGCUUUCUAAUUGGACUUCAUGGCCGAAAACACGCCCAUCCCAUUCAGCUUGGAACGGGGGGGAUCACACAGUCUGGGUGGACUUGUCG